UCCGGUUUUAUCGGAUUGUUGGGCAAGUUAAAAUGGUCAACAGAACUAAAGAAUUUAGAAAAGGACUUGGCAUAGAGUGAAUGCUAUAUAUUAGUUGCCAUUAUAUUACUUAAUCCAUACUGCCCCUUGAAAAGUAGCUACUACCACUUCCAUUUAUCAGAUGAAGAAGCUGAGGCUCUGAGGACUUACAUGGCUUUCCCAGAGCCACAUAACAAGGAAGGAGUAAAAUCAGGCUUAGAAUUCAGUUCUCUUAGUCCUGGGGCACCUGCCUCUGUGGUGAGGGAGCUGGAGCUUGGGAAGGUUUUCACUAAAACGUGGGCAGCUUUGCGUUUUUACCAAGUGCUGCCCUGAGGCCUCCGGGAGACCGAAUUGGGCAGCUGCAAGACGGGAGGUGGGGAGUUGAGAGGUGUGUUGGGCAGCAAUGAUUGUCAGUCCGGUCACCAUGUCCCUUCAAGCUCACAGUAGCCCAGUUUUGUUUAGGAGGCCAGAAGGUCCAGUGGCCAGGUGUGAGUCCAAGGCGGAACUGGGCCCUGCCAUCUCCUUUUGCCAUUGAUUGAUCCCGUGGUGUGCCUGUGACCUAGUCAUUUCUGGCCAAUGAGUUGGGGAGGGGACAUUUUUGGAAAGUUUUCCUCCCCCGAUAAUAGCCUUUUCUUUUGUCCCCUUUCUUCCUAUAAUACAGUGAUUUUCUCAUGGCACACAUAAACUAAUUACUAAAAUUCUGUGGUGCACCCCAAUAUAUAUAUAUUGCUUAUAUGACAAAAGAGAAAAUAAGGUAUAAUUUUGAUUCCUGUACACCAGACAGGAAAAGAGGUUAGUGCUCCUGACCAAAUAGGUAUUGCAUGUUUUAAAAGUUCUUGUGGCACACCAGUGUGCCUCUUGCAACACACUGGUUGGAAAUCUCUGCUGUAAUGAGGUGGUUACGGUUAGAGCUGUCACAAUCAUGAUGAAACCACGAGGCAUGGCCCUAAGCCCCCAAAUCCGACACACUGAAGGUGAGAGCGCAGAAAGGUGACAAGAGCAAGAGCCUGGAAGAGGUGCUUCCUGUAACCGGCUUCGGGCUAAUCUCCAGGGGAGAGAUGGGACCUGGCCUAGCAGUUCUCGGAAGAGGCAGUGGGAAGGCACCACGCCGUGGCCAGGGGAGGACCCCACUUCUCAGGAAGCGGACGUGGGUGGGACACCACGGCUCCCACUACAGCACAGGCACCCAUCACAUCUACCCACCGGAGGUUGCUCUAAGGACCACCAAGGUGUCGAGUUGUCAGAACAAGACCGGGAAGAGUGCACUGAGGCCAGUCCUAAGCCGGUUACACAUCUUAUCUCCAUAACCGCCCUGAGCAGUUAAUCCUUACAGAUGACAAACAGCAACAGAAACAACGCAGCCGGUCCCCGACCUACAACGGUUCAACCUAUGACUUUUCAAUGGCGCGAAAGCGGGGCACAUAGUAAACUGCGUGCGGUGUUUCGCAGUGUGUUACAAAAUAAGCUCUGUGCGUGGGUGUUGCCCAACUGUGGGCUGGUGGAUCUGUUCGGAGCUUGUUGCAGGACGGCUAGGCUACGCUAUGGUGCGUGUUCAGUAGGUUAGGCGUAUUAAGUGCAUUUUUGGCUUCCAAUAUUUUACCAGGAUGAAACCCCAUCCUAAAUCAAGGAGCAUCUAUAUUAGAAGAAACGACGUUUGUGGUAUUGGUUAACGCUGGAGCACUUCCUGCCUGCCUGAUCCUAUGCAGAAGGCGUUCAAAAGUGCACCACUGGGGGUCACAGCUCCCCACACCUUACCUGUGGGCUGUGCGCUCAGUGCCUUCCAGAGAGUGCAGGAUGGAAGGGGGCAGGGGUCACGUUGCAGUGGAGAAAGCUGGCGAACACUACUUGGGCCAGGGGCUCACACCGACAGUACGCGCCCUUGCUAGGAUGCGACGAAAAUGACCCUCCCCCUCUCAGCUCUUCCUCUGCAAAGCGUGUACCCCAGUCUGAGGAGAGCGCUGCACUCCACCACAGGGGCACGCAGUGACAGGUCCGUCCUCCUCAGAACUGCCGAGGGCACCAAAACAGGGAAAACGCGAGCAACUCUCCCAGCCAGGAGGAGCCGACAGGGGCAUGACAACCAAACGUGAUGGGGAGGGAGUCCCGAGUGGGAUCCUGGAACGGGGAGAGGACAUCGGGUGACACCAGGGCACACACCACGGACUUCGGUUCGUAAUAAUGCAUCCACACCGGGGCACUAAUUAUAGCCGACGUGCGAUGCCGAGGCAGGACCUAAGAUGCUAAUAACAGGAGAGGCUGGGGGCAGGGGCGCACGGGAACUGUCUGUGCUAUCUGCUCGUUUUCUGUAAAUCUAACUGUUCCAAAAAUAAGGUCUGGAAAACUCUGUAUUACCUCACUUCAUGUCUACUGGGAUGGGCCCACCACAUCCUGGAGGAGGAGGAAAUGAGUCGCAGGGGGUAAGGACUGGCCAGGGCCACACAGCCGCUGGACGGUCCGGGCUCCGGGCACGUGGCCAGAGACCAUCGUGAAGUGUUCGGGAUGACACCGAGCCUUCAUGUCUGGGAAAUGUGUAUUUUAAUAGUACUCACUUCACCUGACCAAAAUCAAGUUAAUAAGGUGGGCUAGUACGGGCAAAGUGCUUAGCAUGGUCCCCGGGACACAGUGAGUGCUCCCCAAACGUAACCGUAGCAAGCAGUUUCAAUGCUACUCUUCCGAGAGCCUCCCUUGGUCUUGUCACCUGUUGGAGGACCAGCACCUGGCCCUUUCAGCUGCCCAGCAGGGAGAGGUGUCCCCUUGGACAGAGGUCAGGAACUACUUUGGGAGAGAAUGAGCCCCUCCCCUCCUUCAGGGAGGAAAGGGCUCUGGGACCCCCAGGCCCCAGGCUGUUUUCAGACAGCAGGCCUGCUGCCUGAGGUUGUUUUAACAGGGACAGUGGUGGCAGAGGCGGGCACACAGAAGCUUCUUUGUCCCAGCCAGUGGUGGUGGCGGCUGGCGGCUGGCUCACCCUGGGGACUGCUUC